rnacentral:rRNA from 1 species
AUGAGCUUGCUAUGCUCACUUGUUGCUGUCCUGUUGAUCGUCCUUGUGAGCGCCGGCGAUGAGGCCGCAUUGCUUGCUUUCAAAGCGCAGCUCAGCCAUGGCGGCUCGCUGGCCUCCUGGAACAGCAGCACCGACUUCUGCAGCUGGGAAGGCGUGACGUGCAACCACCGGAGGCCAGCGCGGGUGGUGGAACUAAGAUUGAGCGGCGCCGGGCUCACCGGAGCGCUCUCCCCGGCAAUCGGGAACCUCACGUUCCUGCGGAUGCUCAACCUUGGUGUCAACUCGCUAUACGGGGACAUUCCAGCAAGCCUCGGCCGCCUCCGUCGCCUGCGGUGGCUCUACUUGGACAAGAACUCCUUCUCCGGCACAUUGCCAGCGAACCUGAGCUCCUGCAUCAGCAUGACUGAAAUGAGACUGGACAACAACACGCUUGGCGGGCACAUCCCGACUGAGCUUGGCGAGAAGCUCAAGUACCUGACAGUGCUCACGCUGAGAAACAACGGCUUCACAGGGUCCAUCCCGGCGUCACUGGCCAAUCUUUCCCAUCUACAGGUCCUCGAACUCACUUAUAACCAUUUCACCGGUUCAAUCCCGCAGGGGCUCGGAACCAUCCAGAGCAUGCGAUAUUUCAAUCUCGCCGAAAACAACCUCCACGGUAUGAUCCCACCUUCUCUUUACAACUGGUCGUCAUUGGUAGUAUUUGAUGUCGGGUCGAAUAUGUUGUACGGAAGCAUUCCGGAUGAUAUCGGAAACAAGCUCCCCAAGUUGGAAAGGCUUGGCUUGCAUGCCAAUCACUUCACAGGAACCAUCCCUUCCUCAAUAUCCAACAUAUCUUCCCUCAUAUCACUUGACCUCACACAGAACAAAUUUAGUGGGUAUAUGCCUCCCACAUUGGGGUGGCUCGGAGCUCUCCAAUAUCUGGAGUUGGGUAACAAUGAAAUCGAAGCGAAUGACAACAAGGGGUGGGAAUUUAUAACAUCCUUGGCAAAUUGCAGCCAACUGCAGAAAUUGGCACUACCCAAAAAUUCCUUUGGAGGACAACUACCGGGUUCAAUUGUGAACCUCUCAACGACUCUCCAGUGGUUAAACUUACAGGACAAUAGGUUCUCUGGGAGUAUACCUGCGGACAUCGGCAACUUGGUUGGUUUGGAAUUGCUUGUGAUAGCAAAUACUCCGAUAUCCGGAGUGAUUCCCAAGAGCAUCGGUAAGCUAGUAAAAUUGAUCCAGCUAGUCUUGCAUAAUAAUAGCUUGUCUGGCCUCAUACCAUCAUCGCUAGGGAACCUUUCGCAAUUGAGUAUCCUUUCUGCAUACCAUGGCAACUUGGAGGGGCCAAUUCCGGCAAGCCUCGGGGAGUUGAAAAAACUUGUUGUACUCGAUCUGUCAAUGAACUACAGACUUAAUGGUUCAAUACCUAGAGGGAUUUUUAAAUUGCCUAGCCUUUCUAGGUACUUGGACUUGUCAUAUAAUUCCCUUUCGGGACCCCUUCCUAAUGAAGUUGGUAGUUUGUCAAAUCUGAACCGACUUGUUCUAUCAGGAAACCGGUUGUCUGGCAAGAUACCUGACAGCAUUCAGAAUUGCAUAGUAUUGGAAUCUCUAAGAUUAUACAACAAUUCAUUUGAGGGAAGCAUACCUCAGUCAGUGACAAAUAUAAAGGGGCUCCGUAUACUGGUCCUAACCAUGAAUAAGUUCUCUGGUAAUAUUCCUGAGGCCCUUGGUAGCAUUAGAAACCUGGAGGGACUGUACCUAGCACACAACAACUUGUCUGGGUCAAUCCCAUUAGUUCUACAGAAUUUGACAUCAUUGUCUGAACUGGAUAUAUCCUUCAAUAAUUUGCAAGGUGAGGUGCCAAAUGAAGGUGUUUUCAGAAACAUCACUUACUUAGCAGUUAAUGGGAAUGCCAAUUUGUGUGGUGGUACACCUCAACUUCAUUUGGCUCCAUGCUCCAUAAGAAAGAACAAAAAACAGAUGCCAAAGUCUUUUGUAAUCUCUCUAGUGACAGCUGGAGCAAUCUUGUUUUCACUUUCAGUUAUUCUUCUUGUUUGGAUACUUUGCAAGAAGCUCAAACCAAGCCAGAAGAUAUUAGCAGAAAAUUCAAUUGCUGAUGACCAUUACAAGAGAAUCCCCUAUCAUGCAUUAUUGAGAGGAACUAACAAUUUUUCAGAAGCCAACUUGCUUGGAAGAGGAAGUUAUGGUGUGGUUUAUAAGUGUAUUUUGGACAAUGAAGAAAGAACAUUGGCUGUCAAGGUGUUUAAUCUCAAUCAAUCUAGGUAUUCCAAGAGUUUUCAGGUCGAGUGUGAGGCCAUGAGAAGGAUACGACACCGUUGUCUCAUUAAGAUCAUUACAUCUUGUUCAAGCGUCAACCACCAAGGUCAAGAUUUCAAGGCAUUAGUUUUUGAGUUCAUGCCCAAUGGUAGCUUGGAUGGUUGGCUUCAUCCAAAAUCACAAGAGCCCACUAUAAACAACACGCUCAGCCUUGCCCAGAGACUUGAUAUUGCUGUCGAUAUUAUGGAUGCGGUAGAAUAUCUGCACAACUACUGUCAAUCAUUGGUAAUCCAUUGUGACCUUAAGCCAAGCAACAUUCUUCUUGAUGAAGACAUGAGCGCACGAGUUGGUGACUUUGGCAUAUCAAGGAUCCUUCAAGAAAAUACGAGUGAGGGGAUGCAAACUUCAUAUAGUUCAACUGGAAUUAGAGGUUCCAUAGGCUAUGUUGCUCCAGAGUACGGAGAAGGAUCUGCUGUCUCAACACCCGGCGAUAUCUAUAGUCUUGGCAUAUUGCUGCUUGAGAUGUUUACCGGAAGGAGCCCAACGGAAGGCAUGUUCAGAGAUUCAUUGGAUCUGCAUAAGUUUGCUGAGGAUGCUCUUCCAGAUAGAACCUUGGAGAUAGCUGACCCAACAAUAUGGCUACACAACGGACAACAGGAUAACACUACAAGUAUUAGAAUCCAGGAGUGCUUGCUUUCAGUCUUGAGGCUUGGCAUAUCCUGCUCAAAGACACGAGCUCAAGACCGAGCACCGACAAGAGAUGCAGCGGCAGAGAUGCAUGCAAUCAGAGAUGCAUACCUCCUGUUUGCUGGUAAGCAUAUAGGGGAGCAUGGAGGGCCUCGGCUUGAGACAUUUGAGCUAGAAUGA